rnacentral:rRNA from 1 species
UACGUAGGGGGCAAGCGUUAUCCGGAUUUACUGGGCGUAAAGGGAGCGUAGACGGCGCUGCAAGUCCGGAGUGAAAGCCCAUGGCUUAACCAUGGUACUGCUCUGGAAACUGUGGAGCUUGAGUGCAGGAGGGGCAGGCGGAAUUCCUGGUGUAGCGGUGAAAUGCGUAGAUAUCAGGAGGAACACCGGUGGCGAAGGCGGCCUGCCGGACUGCAACUGACGUUGAGGCCCGAAAGCGUGGGGAGCAAACAGG